rnacentral:rRNA from 1 species
ACGGGUGAGUAAUGCCUAGGAAUCUGCCUGGUAGUGGGGGACAACGUUUCGAAAGGAACGCUAAUACCGCAUACGUCCUACGGGAGAAAGCAGGGACCUUCGGGCCUUGCGCUAUCAGAUGAGCCUAGGUCGGAUUAGCUAGUUGGUGAGGUAAUGGCUCACCAAGGCGACGAUCCGUAACUGGUCUGAGAGGAUGAUCAGUCACACUGGAACUGAGACACGGUCCAGACUCCUACGGGAGGCAGCAGCU